UUUGUUGUCGUCCAGCGGUUAGGAUAUCUGGUUUUCACCGAGGAGACCCGGUUCGAUUCCCGGCAACGGAA